AUCACCUGGGGAUCUUAUUAAAAUGCAGAUUAGGAUUCAGUAGGUCUGUGAUGGGGUCUGAGAUUUUGCAUUUUUAACAAGCUCCAAGUGAUGCCAG
rnacentral:pre_miRNA from 1 species